rnacentral:rRNA from 1 species
GACGAACGCUGGCGGUGUGCUUAACACAUGCAAGUCGAACGGAAAGGCCCCUUUCGGGGGGUACUCGAGUGGCGAACGGGUGAGUAACACGUGAGUAACCUGCCCUUGACUUUGGGAUAACUUCCGGAAACAGGGGCUAAUACCGGAUAGGAGCUCCUGCUGCAUGGUGGGGGUUGGAAAGUUUCGGCGGUUGGGGAUGGACUCGCGGCUUAUCAGCUUGUUGGUGGGGUAGUGGCUUACCAAGGCUUUGACGGGUAGCCGGCCUGAGAGGGUGACCGGCCACAUUGGGACUGAGGUACGGCCCAGACUCCUACGGGAGGCAGCAGUGGGGAAUAUUGCACAAUGGGUGGAAGCCUGAUGCAGCAACGCCGUGUGCGGGAUGACGGCCUUCGGGUUGUAAACCGCUUUCGCUCAUGACGAAGCUUUGUGUGACGGUAGUGAGUAAAGAAGCACCGGCUAACUACGUG